UACAGAGGGUGCAAGCGUUACUCGGAAUUACUGGGCGUAAAGCGUGCGUAGGCGGUUUGUUAAGUCCGUUGUGAAAGCCCUGGGCUCAACCUGGGAAUUGCAGUGGAUACUGGCAAGCUAGAGUACGGUAGAGGAUGGUGGAAUUCCCGGUGUAGCGGUGAAAUGCGUAGAGAUCGGGAGGAACACCCGUGGCGAAGGCGGCCAUCUGGACCAGUACUGACGCUGAGGCACGAAAGCGUGGGGAGCAAACAGG
rnacentral:rRNA from 1 species